rfam:Pseudonocardia dioxanivorans CB1190, complete genome.
GCCGGUCCUCGGUAGUGGCUCCCGGGCCCGCCGCCGUCCCCGUCGGGGAGCGGCACGCCCGAGGGCUUCGAUCGAAGACCGGC